GUGUCAGCCGCCGCGGUAAUACAGAGGUCCCAAGCGUUGUUCGGAUUCACUGGGCGUAAAGGGUGCGUAGGUGGUGAGGUAAGUCUGAUGUGAAAUCCCGCAGCUCAACUGCGGAACUGCAUCGGAUACUAUCUUGCUAGAGGGUUUGAGGGGGGACUGGAAUUCUCGGUGUAGCAGUGAAAUGCGUAGAUAUCGAGAGGAACACCAGUGGCGAAGGCGAGUCCCUGGAAAACUCCUGACACUGAGGCACGAAAGCUAGGGGAGCAAACAGGAUUAGAUACCCCCGUAGUCC
rnacentral:rRNA from 1 species